ensembl:lncRNA
AUGAUGCCUUUCUGUUUGAAAUUCACACCAUCCCAAGAAGGAUUAAGUGAGUCCCUGAUAGGAGAUAUUCUGAAGGGACCAACUCUCCAGCAGGAAACUGCACCAAGGAUUGGAAUCGCUAAGAUCAAGAGGAAAUAUUUCUUACCAUUAAAAAUGUGUAAAGUUCUCCAAGAGCCAAUAAAGAAAGUCUCAGAAAAUAUGUGCUAUAACAAAAUAUAUGAAAGAGCAAGUAAGAUAAACAUACAUAGAAAAUUUUGUAGCAUUAAAUGAGGUACUUAGCUGGCAUAGGAAAGUUUAGAAAAGAAUGCAUGUUAUGGGGGAGACUUUAGCCUGAUGGUUAGAUGCCAAUUAAGAUAACUGUGCCCUACACUGGAACCCUUAGGUUUCAUUUUCAGCUCUAGUUCCUGAUUCUAGUUCCUGAUUUCUAGCCUCCUGAGGGGCUACAGUUGAUGACUAAAGGUUGGGUUCCUUCCUUACAUGUUAAGAGAACUAGGUUGAGUUUCUGGCUCCUGGCUAUCACCAGAAGUCACUGGAAUGGAAGAGAACAACCAGGAUCUGCCACUUUGUUUCUUCUGUUUGCCUCCGUGCCCACCCUUUCACAUAUUCUGCACCCCAGUACACUAGCCUGAGUUGAUGGUAUCCACGGGCUCUCCCGUCCCCUGUUCUUCAUGGGUACCAGUUAUAGGAGAUGCUGAGAGAAAACUGGGUGACAGAGGAAAGUGAAAUCAAGUCUUUAUUCUGUAGGCUGCUAAGUGGCUGGAUUGCUGAGGCUGAGUGUCUUCUCCCAUCAAAGACUACAAAGCAGUAGACAGAGGUCCUCUUAUAGCUCCUUCUCAGCUACUUCAGGCCUUGAGAUGAGGAAGUCUCCCUGCUGUGGCUGGCCCUGAAGUUCUGAGCUGUCCACCGUCUGUUUCCCCAAACCCUGCUUUUGUAGAGUGCACCUUUCUCAAGCUCUUAUCAUUGAUUUAAAGGCAGUGGCAAUGUUUCCUCUUUCAUGACAAGCCCAUGUUUUAUACAGUGGCAGAAAGAGAGUUGUGGGCUGAAGAUGGAACCCAGGGAAGUGGCGACCUUUAAAGAAAGAGCUAAGAGUAAUGACGAGACCAGGGAACGUUGUGGCAAUGGAAUCAGAGUUCCAACCUAAGGACAGAAAAGGUCCGCUUUAUUAGAAAGCUGGGAAAGACUUCUUGCUGAGAGGAGUUUCAGUGGUGUGCUGACAGCCAGAACCAGAUGACAAGGCCAGGACACAAGUGCAGACAACUAAGUGAAGAGCUGUGAUUUGAUGAGUGUGAUGAUAGGAGAAAAAGCAAGCUGGAAUUUAUGAAAAAGAAGAGAUAGAAUCAAUCAAUGGAUAUUGUCAAACUUCUGUAAUGGAAACCAGCUCUGUCUAUCUCCAGUGGUCGGGGCUAGCAAAGAAUGAUAUCAUCAAGAUACUUUGUAGCCGUGAGAGCAAUCUACAUAAUGUGUUCUCUAUGGAAUAGGUUUUUUAUUAACCACUUAUGGAAAAACACAAAGGGUUAAGUCUUGAUUUUCAUUUUCUAUAGCAACACAUUUAUUUCCAGCUUAUCUCAAAAUCAUCAGUGAGAGCACCUAAAAGGAAACCUGUAGAAGUGGAAUGGACACACUUGAUCUGCCCUUGUCCUGACUGUCGAGGAAGAGCUUACUAUCUUAUUCUUUUAAGUAUUUUCUUGUUCGACUUAAUACCAUUGGUUGAACUCUUUAAUUAACACACAAUCAUUCUUAGGUGUUUAAAUUUAACUGAAAAUUGGUCCCUGUUAAAAAUAAGAGAGGAAAUAAGAGAAGGAGGAGAUGUAUAGUUCGGCACAUGCUCACUCAGACUUACCCUAAUGGUAGAGCUAGAAACGUGCCAUGGGACUCCAAAUCCCAUUAAGUUGGCAUGUAUCAAUGCCAUCUUACUAGUUAAAGUGAUCAGUUUAAGUUCAUAAUUGAUCAUAAAGAUAGGGUUAAGUGUCAAAGAGAUCACAUAAAUAAGACCAGUGUCCACUAAUAAUAAUUGAUAGAAUUAAAAAGGAGAAAAUGAUCCAACAUGGGAAGCAGGAUACACAGCAGGCUCAUAGAAUGACAAAUACCCUAAACAGCACUCUGGCCUCAGAAUAAGCCCUUAAAGCAUUUGGAUCUGGCUAAACAGCCCAUGAGAGUUUCUCAGGCAUGGAAAGCCAAGACACUCUGGCGAAGAAAAAAACAAAAAAAAAAAAAAAAAACCUAAAUGAAAGAUCUCUGUGAGUGAGAUCCCAGUGGAAAGAACAGGCCAUCAAAGAAGGAGGUACCUUUCUCUGAAGGGAGGAGAGAACUUCCACUUUGACUAUGGUCUUGUCUAAAUAAGGCCGGAGUUUGUGAACUCAAGAGGCUUCCAUAGCCUUGGCAGCUUAUGACAAGAAAUUCGGGUGAUUACUGACAUCAUAAAUAAGAGUGUCAAUUGUUAAAUUAACAAUGGGAUUCACUGUGCACUUACUCCCCGUGCAGGAUCUCUGUCCUUAAUGUGUUGUACUAUGCAAAUUAAUGGUAAAACUAGUGUUCAAACAGUACUUUAUACUUUGUGUGUCUGUGUGGGUGCAAUCUGUUGAAAUCUUUACUUAGUAUAUACUAAGUUGAUCUUCUGUAUAUAAAGAUAAUUAAAAAUGAAUCUUUUUUUAAACUUCUUUUUAAUAAAUAUAAAUUUCCAAAGUACA